AUCGAGGAGAUGUGGAGGGG
rnacentral:miRNA from 1 species